rnacentral:rRNA from 1 species
UACGAAGGGGGCUAGCGUUGCUCGGAAUCACUGGGCGUAAAGCGCACGUAGGCGGAUCUUUAAGUCAGGGGUGAAAUCCUGGAGCUCAACUCCAGAACUGCCUUUGAUGCUGGGGAUCUCGAGUCCGGAAGAGGUGAGUGGAACUCCGAGUGUAGAGGUGAAAUUCGUAGAUAUUCGGAAGAACACCAGUGGCGAAGGCGGCUCACUGGUCCGGUACUGACGCUGAGGUGCGAAAGCGUGGGGAGCAAACAGG